GAUGAACGCUGGCGGCGUGCCUAAUACAUGCAAGUCGAGCGAAGUUUUUCUGGUGCUUGCACUAGAAAAACUUAGCGGCGAACGGGUGAGUAACACGUAAAGAACCUGCCUCAUAGACUGGGACAACUAUUGGAAACGAUAGCUAAUACCGGAUAACAGUAUUUCUCGCAUGAGAGAUAUUUAAAAGUUGGUUAUGCUAACACUAUGAGAUGGCUUUGCGGUGCAUUAGCUAGUUGGUGGGGUAAAGGCCCACCAAGGCGACGAUGCAUAGCCGACCUGAGAGGGUGAUCGGCCACACUGGGACUGAGACACGGCCCAGACUCCUACGGGAGGCAGCAGUAGGGAAUCUUCCGCAAAGGGCGAAAGCCUGACGGAGCAACGCCGCGUGAGUGAAGAAGGAUUUCGGUUCGUAAAGCUCUGUUGUUAGGGAAGAAUGGAUAUGUAGUAACUAUACAUGUAAGAGACGGUACCUAACCAGAAAGCCACGGCUAACUACGUG
rnacentral:rRNA from 1 species